AGACUUUUCAGUUUACUAAAUGAAGUUUUAAUGAAGUAGUUUCAUCACAAUUUGAGGUUCGUGCGAUGGAGUUUACUUCAGUUUUAUAUAUGCAGCACCAAACUGCACGUGAAGUGAGGUCAGGGUGGAGGAAGAGCUCACAACACCUCCAGAAAAAAAAAGUCUUUGCAGAAAAGCGUCUUUUACGUGUGAGUGCACAGAGGUAGACGAGUAAAUGCUCUGAACCUGAAGAUCGGAGGUGAAAUGAAAGCCUCCUGAGCUGGUAACGAUAACCACCACGGAAAACAACUUUUAGAUGCAGGACGUAACCACAAAGGCAUCACAUCAGUCCUCCCUCAAUCUCAUCCUUAUGAAGAAAACCCUGUUAGGGUCCCUCCCUGGAGGAGCCACCUGGGGGCGCCACAGACCAAGCAAGGUCCCUCUUUCCCAUCAAACACGAGACAGACAGCAGACUAUAAGUAAAGACAUUUACAUUAUACGAUUCAUGAGGUCAAACAAAUGAAUGAGGCUGGGAAGGCUGUUUUAAUAGUUUAAUAGUUUAAGUUCAAAAAAAUAUGAAUUUGCCACCAACUCUUCCCCAGAGACUUCCAGCCUUGUCGUAUGGGACGCCUUUAAGGCGUAUAUCAGAGGCCAGAUUAUUGCUUAUUCAGCAAGAAUGAAAAAACAGUCCACCCAUGAAAGAAAUAAGUUAAUGCAACAAAUUAAGGAGACCGAUGAACAGUAUGCUCUCAAACAGAGUCAUGAAAUAUUUAAAAAGCGUGUAGAACUUAAAACAAGACUUGACCUACUCACAAUGUACUCGACUGAACGUUUACUCUUACAUGACAAAUCCAGAUUUUAUAUGCAUGGUGACAAACCUGAUAAAUUACUGGCGAGCCUUCUAAAAGGUUCUAGGGCAAGGCAAAGUAUUCCUAAAAUUCGACAACAAGAUGGCAACGUAGUCACAGAUCACGAAAAAAUCAAUGAAGUAUUCAGGGAUUUUUACUCACAGCUUUACACCUCAGAGUCCCAAACUGACUGCAGUGCAAUUAAUGAGUUCUUAGCUAAACUUGACAUUCCUGAAA